GGAGGUGUAGCUCAGUGGUAGAGCACAUGACUAUCAUGUGUAAGGCCUGGGUUCAAUCCCCAAUACUACAA
rnacentral:tRNA from 1 species